ensembl:lncRNA
GGGGAUAGAGGAUACAUACUACGGGUAGGGGGAUAGAGGAUACAUACUACAGGUAGGGGGAUAGAGGAUACAUACUACAGGUAGGAGGAUAGAGGAUACAUACUACAGGUAGGGGGGAGAGGAUACAUACUACAGGUAGGGGGUAGAGGAUACAUACUACAGGUAGGGGGAUAGAGGAUAGAGGAUAGAGGAUACAUACUACAGGUAGGGGAAUGGAGGAUACAUACUACAGGUAGGGGGAUAGAGGAUACAUACUACAGGUAGGAGGAUAGAGGAUACAUACUACAGGUAGGGGGAUAGAGGAUACAUACUACAGGUAGGGGGAUAGAGGAUACAUACUACAGGUAGGGGGAUAGAGGAUACAUA